CAGUCGCCACGGGAACACGGAGGGAGCUAGCGUUGUUCGGAAUUACUGGGCGUAAAUCGCGCGUAGGCGGUUACUCAAGUCAGAGGUGAAAGCCCGGGGCUCAACCCCGGAACUGCCUUUGAAACUAGGUGACUAGAAUCUUGGAGAGGUCAGUGGAAUUCCGGGUGUAGAGGUGAAAUUCGUAGAUAUUCGGAAGAACACCAGUGGCGAAGGCGACUGACUGGACAAGUAUUGACGCUGAGGUGCGAAAGCGUGGGGAGCAAACAGGAUUAGAUACCCGUGUAGUCCCUGUCUCUUAUAC
rnacentral:rRNA from 1 species